GGUUGCAUGGUGUAAUGGUUAGCACAUCAGACUUUGAAUCUGGGGACCUGAGUUCGAUUCUCAGUGCGACCA